UUUGCCCUAACCCCAGAUGUUGCGCCCGGUGCGGCCGGCCCCCCUGCACCCCCCACGCUACGCCACUGGUGACAUACAUGACUCUAAAAUUUGUGUAGUAGACUAGAUGCCAGCCCUACAAAAGUCAGCAGUUCCAAACUUCCGAUCGAUAAGCACACCAUAUCUCUUCAUCCUGGCACAAUUCAAGGACAUCUUUCAGCCUUGCAAAAAUCCUCAAGGAGCGUGAAGAGCAGGGCCAGUGAAGGAUGUGGCUUGCGGAAAGUCCCAAGGUCUGGAAAGAGCUGUCCUUGGGUACGCUGAGAUCACCAAUCAAGUCCCUCACCUCACCUGCUACAUACCUGUAUAGCAGCUGGCUAUUGAAUGCAGGGUAGAAGAGUACCAGCCAGGGUAGAGCCACUCCCUAUUUUGCUUGGCAAUAGCUGCCCGGUUCCAUAUUUGUUGUGGCUGAGGUUGUAAACUUAAUACACGUCUCUGGGAAGUACGUCUCACCAGGAUGUAUUUCUGAGCAGGCAAGUAUAAGCUUGCACCUUCAAAGUACAGUAUUUCUUGUGAGUGCUGCAGAGGUCCAUGCGACUUCUACUUUCAGAAUUGUUCCAGGUCCUCACCCACAAUCUUUCCAUACACCGAGGUGUGUCUCUGCAAAUACCUGCCUGUCAUUCGAACCCGUACAAUCAAGGCAAGCGUAAUACUGCUGAACAGCCGUCAAAACAAAAAACAAGGGGGAAACAGUGGCAUGUUUUUGUCACACAGUUGUCACAUUGCAGCCUUCUUCCUGUUUAUUUUGGAGUCUGCAGGUUUGUGCUUGUUGAAGUUACACCUGGGCUCAGAAAAAAAUUCUACCUUGCUGAGGCAGGCCUAAUGUUGGGGUGGCGGAGGGAAUAUGGGGAGGCAGCAAAUCAACACCAUUAGGCCUUGGGAAACCUACUGAAGAAAUCUUGAAACUACUGAAAAAUUAGCUGUGCUUUAAGAGACAACAAGGCAGACGGAAGCGGUUUUUAUUAAUUCUGCCUCCCUCUUGCACCACUUCUACAGGUGACUGUUCCUUCUGAACACUCCUGCUAGGCUCCCAAAUCAGGUGUAAGGCUGGCUGGAGUAGAGAGAGGCAGAGGCACACUUAAUCUUAGACUCUGGACUCAGCGCUUUUACUUGAGGGAAGAGCUCUUUAGAUGGUAACGUGGCCUCGCUGCGUUUGGGGGACCUUGUGUUCCUUCUGCUGAGUAGAGCCCUGGAAACGAGUUCCCCAAAAGCCUGUCCUGAUGGUGCUACAGGGGGGAAACGGCCUGUGCAAGGAUGUUGUGGGGUGGGAAUGACAGCAUCAACCACCAGCUAAUUCUUCCCUGCAAAUGCAGCUUGUUCAAAGUGCUGUUUGGCUACGAAAAAACCUCUCUGUGAGGAAGCAGGUCAGUAAAAGCUCAUGCAACGUUUGUGAAGUUAACUCUUUAGUCAAAGGAAUAAACGGCUCUGGAGGCUUCUUUGUAAGCCUUCAUGAUUUGUCUAACACUGGAGGCAGGGAGCAGGUCUUGUGAUUAACACUCCACCUUUUAUCCCAUGAAUCGAACACAGCAUCAAACGAUGCAAGACACCAGAUUCUGGCUACAGAGCUAGAUCUUCUUAACUCAAUACUGAUGGCAGCCUAUCUGAUCCAAAACACUUCGUCACCUGAGGAGGACGUUCCAAACCCUGUCCCACAGCGCAGUAAAAAUAGUAUAUUGUGAUUAUUUAAUUGUGUUAAUUAAUCACUUUAUGCAAAAGGAAAAGUCUCCAAGCUGCUCGACAAGAUAAAAUACCACAGGUGAAACGAUUUAAACCAGAGAAGUUAAAACAAUAAAUGCAAAAAAACACAAACUGCUCAUGCAAUAACAUAUUAAAAAGGGAAAGUCUUUGCAGCACUGUUAAAGAAAUGAGCACCAUCAUAGGGGCCCACAUAAUUAAGGCCAGAGAAAAUGUAAACUCUUAGCCUGGCGCUUGAAAACUUAAAAUGAUGGUGCCGGCCGCAUUUCCCUGAGGAGAGUAUCACAGGAAAGGCCUAUUUUUGUGUAGCCACCCUUGGGUGGGGCACACAGAGAAGGGCUUCUGAGAGAGACGAUGGCAGCAUCCAUACCCACCAACAUUUCUCCAAUGAAAAUAGGGAUGUCCUAUUCCAUAACAACAACAGCAACAACAAUUUAAAGCACAUGACUCCUCCAAAAGAAUCCUGGGAACUGUAGCUUCCCUCUCACACAACUGAAUGGACUUUAAAUGUGUGGUGUGUAUCUGAGGCCACGGAGCAUUAACGCAGCCUGGAAUUUCCCAGUGCUGUAGUCAGAACAGGAUUUGGUGGCAAGAAAGCAGGCCCCAUUCACUGGAGCAAGCAAUAAGGCUACCAAUCACAGCAGCACCUGCUUCCCACAUUUUGAAAAAAGUUUGAAAGAAGAUACCCAUUACCAUUGAAAGAAGCACAGGACCAGACCCUCUAAGCGUCCCUAUUUUCCAGGGACAUCCCUAAUUUAGAGAAGCCAUCCUGGUUUCUGAUUUGAUCCUGGA